GAUGAAGAACGCAGCGAAAUGCGAUACUUGGUGUGAAUUGCAGAAUCCCGUGAACCAUCGAGUCUUUGAACGCAAGUUGCGCCCGAAGCCAUUAGGCCGAGGGCACGCCUGCCUGGGCGUCACACGUCGUUGCCCCCCCAUCUACUCCUUCGGGAUUGCGGGGGGCGGAUGAUGGCCUCUCGUGCGCCUCGUCGCGCGGUUGGCCUAAAUGCCAAGUCCUCGGCGACGCACGCCACAACAAUCGGUGGUUGCGAAACCUCGGUUGCCUGUCGUGUGCGGUCGUCGCGCAUCGAGGGCUCGAAAAAAUUGCCGGGCUUCGGCUCGACUUUCAACGCGACCCCAGGUCAGGCGGGGUUACCCGCUGAAUUUAAGCAUAUCAAUAAGCGGAGGA
rnacentral:misc_RNA from 1 species